UACAGAGGGGGCAAGCGUUGUUCGGAAUUACUGGGCGUAAAGGGCUCGUAGGUGGCCAACUAAGUCGGACGUGAAAUCCCUCAGCUUAACUGGGGAACUGCGUCCGAUACUGGAUGGCUCGAGUUUGGGAGAGGGAUGCGGAAUUCCAGGUGUAGCGGUGAAAUGCGUAGAUAUCUGGAGGAACACCGGUGGCGAAGGCGGCAUCCUGGACCAACACUGACACUGAGGAGCGAAAGCCAGGGGAGCAAACGGG
rnacentral:rRNA from 1 species